GAUGAACGCUGGCGGCGUGCCUAAUACAUGCAAGUCGAGCGAACAGACGAGGAGCUUGCUCCUCUGACGUUAGCGGCGGACGGGUGAGUAACACGUGGAUAACCUACCUAUAAGACUGGGAUAACUUCGGGAACCCGGAGCUAAUACCGGAUAAUAUAUUGAACCGCAUGGUUCAAUAGUGAAAGACGGUUUUGCUGUCCCUUAUAGAUGGAUCCGCGCCGCAUUAGCUAGUUGGUAAGGUAACGGCUUACCAAGGCAACGAUGCGUAGCCGACCUGAGAGGGUGAUCGGCCACACUGGAACUGAGACACGGUCCAGACUCCUACGGGAGGCAGCAGUAGGGAAUCUUCCGCAAUGGGCGAAAGCCUGACGGAGCAACGCCGCGUGAGUGAUGAAGGUCUUCGGAUCGUAAAACUCUGUUAUUAGGGAAGAACAAAUGUGUAAGUAACUAUGCACGUCUUGACGGUACCUAAUCAGAAAGCCACGGCUAACUACGUG
rnacentral:rRNA from 1 species